CCCUUAGAUGUUCUGGGCCGCACGCGCGCUACACUGAUGCAUUCAACGAGUCUAAAACCUGCUCUGAUAGGGGUGGGUAAUCUUUUGAAUGUGCAUCGUGAUUGAGAUAGAUGAUUGCAAUUUUUCAUCUUCAACGAGGAAUGCCUAGUAAACGCAAGUCAUCAGCUUGCAUUGAUUACGUCCCUGCCCUUUGUACACACCGCCCGUCGCUCCUACCGAUUGAAUGAUCCGAUGAAUAUCAUGGAUUGAGGAUGCAAGCAGGUUCGCCUGUCUUCAUCUUCGAGAAGUGAAGUAAAUCUUAUCAUUUAGAGGAAGGAGAAGUCGUAACA
rnacentral:rRNA from 1 species